UAGACCAACUAGUCAUGGUCUAUUUAACUCGCGACGUCUUGCCGCAGUUAUGCGUCUCACAAGCAAUGGAUAGCUCUGAAAUGUAUCAACUACAAUUGAGUGAGAAUUUGAAAUAUAUUCUCAGCAGGCCGGCGCAACCGCCGAAAGUGGCAUUUUGUACACAUUCGGUAAAAAAGAGGUAUUUGUAGAUAAUGAUAAAUAAUAACUGAAAUAGCUAUUUCUAUAGAAGAAAUGCAAUAAACUAAAAUACAACUACAACGCCUAAACAUAUAUACAAUAUCUAUAAUCUUUAAAAUCUAUUAAUCCUCAUGAUUCUAAUUCCACGUGGCAAACUUCAACAAUUUGGGCUAUGGUGGUGGGGUCCAUCUACAUCCUUCCUAUUGGUUGGUGAUAGACCCAUACAAUAAAUACUGACCCAUUUCUUCAUAUGCUUUCCACCUUCCUUGCAUUUCUUCAUUGCUUGAGCAUCUCUUCGUUGCCUGUGCCCUCAUGCCGAUACAUCGCCCCGAAAGCUUGCUCCCAUCUCUUCGUUCUUUGUGCCCUUACACCGCAAUAACGACGAAGGCUCUUUCUGCUACAUUUUCCUGAUCUCUCCUGCCUUGCGAGCUUCGGCACCAUUACAUACUCGUCUCAGCCACUGCCUCCAAACGACCGCGCGUGCUGACUUUUUCAACGAGUGAAUGCCGCGA